rnacentral:tRNA from 2 species
UCUCGUAUAGCUCAGUUGGUAGAGCGGAUGGCUGUUAACCAUCAUGUCGAAGGUUCGAAUCCUUCUACGAGAG